rnacentral:lncRNA from 1 species
ACAAUCUGUAUUUAUUUUAAACCUAAUGAACAAGGGAGUGGCAGCUCAAGUUGUUUGGUGGUGAGACUUCCUUAGUUCAUUGAGGGCUGUGUUUAAUUUAGGAUCUUUAUUUUUUUUUUUUAAGUUGUCUGUGGGUAGGGGUUGUAUCUGUGUUGAUUUUUUUUUUUACUCUGUUUUGAUUCUAUUUUGUGUUUGUUGUGAGUGUGCUUUAUGUUGGGAGUAUAAAUCUGGAAAAGCAAUGCCCGAGAAGACUUUGAAAACAUGUAGCUUCAGAAAUCCCACUUCCCUGAACUGCCAAGGAACAUCUCAAAGCAGCUAGAGCCUUUCAAAGAGUGUCCCAGUGCAGCAGAAAUCACAUGGCAGAAACUAGCCAUGUGAUCUGCAGCUGAAUGCCUCUGGCCUUUUCUGGGCCUUGCUGGUACUUUUCUUGCUAUUCUUGAUCAUGUGCAUCAGAACCCCCUAGAUCAGGACUCUUUUCCCAAGUAUACAUUGUAGCCUUGAUGCCUCCACACCUGCACUGUGGCUUAUCCUUAGAGAAUUUCAUUGUGCUGUCCUCCACUCUGCAAAGCUCUCUCAUUUGUCAGGGUCUACCCCAAAUGUGAUUUUUGUCCUUCCAGUGUCAUACAUUAGUUCCUUUUCUGUGUUGCCCCAGCAGUGAACCCACAUUAUUGGAUUAGAAACACCAGUAUAAUGUACUAUGGGCAACUUGUAGGGGGGACCAGGAUCCCCUGAAGUCUCCAUCAAUGCCUGAUAAAAAGUAGAAAUUCAGAAAGUGAGUGUUGAAUUACUUUCAGAGCAGUGAAAGAUAUAGGCCCUGCCUCUUGAUGAUGUACAAUUCAGAUAGACAGCCUACCAUCCUACCAGAACCUUCUUUAUUCUAAGUCAUUAUCCUAUGAGAAAGUCCUAACUAUCAGAGAGUCUCGGUCACCUCACAGACGAACAUGCAAUGAGAGACUAAUGUUCUUUAACAUUUUUCAUUCAGUUGAAGGAGAAUUAUGUCUUUAGUUGUGAACCCUCUUCUGAGCUCAGCAGGCUCCAAGAGAGAUGUACCUACGAACCCCAGACACAGUUGGCCCUAGUUAAUCUUGGUAGUUAACAAAACAAAAAGUGAAAGUGGGAGAGAUUUGUGGGGAGGGGGCUGGGUAGACAUGGCUACUAGGGAGAUGAGAUGUCUGAAUUGUCCCUAUGCAAAGUGUACACAUAUGAAAUUGUAAAAACAAAUAAAUAUAAAAGGCAUAUAGAAUACCAAAAAAUUAUAUUAAAACAUAAUCAUCUAGUUCACCAAUGACUUUUUUAAAUACAAAAAUGUUUUCAUAUAAAUGUUAUUUUACUGAACAGCUACUAAUUGUGCCCAACACCAUGCUUAGCCCCAUUUAAAACUUCAGGGUUGCUUUCCAGUGGGUUUCUCCUGCAGAGGGGCAUCUCCUCAGGAAAUGGGGGAGAGUGGUUUGGGUCUUCCUAGAUGGUAGCUACCUAAGAGCCAUAGUCCACAGCAGGAAAGAACUGUACAGAGGUACCUGUAUUUUUGCCCUCUUCUCCUUUCUUUUCAAACUGAAGCCGUUUUUAGAUAACCUUGAAUUUAAAGCUUCUUUAAAAAGUGGGCAGGGAUCAACCUUGGGUCUUCAUUUUCUACAUGAUACCAGCAAGCUGAAAUCUCUUUCUCUUUUAGAUGGUGUAUGCAAUCCAGUUUACCACAGUUCCUGCUCCUUUCUGCUGCCUUAUGCCUUUCACUAAUAUAUCUUAUUUUCCUUGUCCCUUGUUUAUAUUUGAGAACUAUUGAUUUAUCAGGAAGAGGACUUAAUGCCUAUAGGCAGUUAUGUACAAAAUAAUACUAUCUGCUACAGGGUAGCAGUUGGACUUUGUGAGAUGGGGUAGAUGCUGUAGUUUCAAGUCUAUGAUUGAGAUUCCUGGAGAUUUGGGCUUUUGUAUGUAGAGGGAUCAGACUGGUAAAUAACAUCUCCUUUGUACCUAGCUUCUUAUAGACAGGCAAGAUUUGGCCGUAAGUUUAUUAUAUUUACAGUCAGGGGAUUUUUAUGGUAUUGAAAAGGAUUGUGUACAGCUAGUCUGUUUUAUUAACACCUUUAGUUGAAGAAGGUCAAGGUGACUCACUGAAGGACACACACAGUUAAUUAAGUAAAAGGAUCUGGGCGAAAGUUCUCUUGACUUUGGUAUAUAUCCUUUGCCCCAUAUUGCUCUUGAUAAAAUAUGCUUUAAAAACAUCCCAAAGUUGAAAGCCUUUACUAUUUAGGACAGUCUGGUUGUCCUUUUCCCCAAAGGUACUAACAAAGAUGCUCUGCCACCAUCCACAUCUGAACCACACUCAACUUCAUCUACAGUGCCCUUUUCUCAUUUAGUCUGUUACUACCAGGUGAUUACAGACAAGUGCUUUGAGAUUAAUGUUUACAUUCCAGGUAGGAAGCAAAGCCAAAUGUCUGCUGCAUCUUCACAUUCCAAAGGAAGAGGCUUUGCCGUUCUGUUUUCCACUCCUUCCAUUUCUCCUCCUUCUCUGCUUUUUUAAAAAUAUAUUUUUAAAGUCUUAUUUUUCAUUAUUUUGUUUAAGUAUAUCCACGGGUGUCUAUGUAGGGGUUUGCAUGUGCACCUGAGAUUAAGUGUCCUGAGAGACCAGAGGCAUUGGACCCCCCUGAAUCUCAAGGGGGAUCAAUUAUGAGUUGCAUGACAUGGGGGCUGGCAGUAAACUUUGUGUUCUCUCAAAGAGGAGUGUGUACUCUUAACCAAUGAACUGAUGAGCCAUCUCUCCAGCACACCUCCCUCUUUGUGUGUGUGUGUGUGUGUGUGUGUGGUGAGAUGCUCAAGGAGUCAAGGGCAUCUGAUUCCCUGGAGUUGGACUUACAGGUAGUUGUGAGCCACCCGAGGUAAGUGUUGGGAACAGAAUUCAGACUCUCAAGAAGAAUAGCAAGCUCUCUUAACCACUGAGCCAUCUUUCCAGCCCCCUCCUCUUAAUGCCAUUUUCCUGAGUUUCUUUUUGCUAGCUGCCUUUUCUAUUUGAUGCUUGAACAAAAUGAAUGAGUGAUUGGUAAAAAUGCACCAAGUGAGUCAGUGAGAUGGCUCAAGGGGUAAAGGGGCAUGCAGCCAAGCAUGAUGUCCCAAGUUCAAUCCUGAGGACCCACAUGGGAAAAGGUAGAUCCAGUUCCUAUAUGUUGUCUUUAGACCUCCACACAUCUGCCAUGGCAUGUACACACACACUCACACACACAACCCAAAAACCUAAAUGUG